rnacentral:sRNA from 1 species
GCUGGGCAUGGUGGUGCACACCUGUAAUCCCAGCUAUUCCGGAAGCUGAGGUAAGAGGAUCACAAGUUUGAGGCCAGCCUGGGCAUCUUAGUAAGACCUUGUCUCAA